rnacentral:rRNA from 1 species
UACGGAGGGGGCUAGCGUUAUUCGGAAUUAUUGGGCGUAAAGGGCGUGUAGGCGGCUUCGUGUGUCCCAUGUGAAAGCCCUCGGCUCAACCGGGGAACUGCAUGGGAAACUGCGGAGCUUGAGUCCGGGAGAGGUGAGUGGAAUUCCCAGUGUAGCGGUGAAAUGCGUAGAUAUCAAGAGGAACACCUGAGGUGAAGACGGGUUGCUGGGCUGACACUGACGCUGAGGCGCGAAAGCCAGGGGAGCAAACGGG